CCUACGGGAGGCAGCAGUGAGGAAUAUUGGACAAUGGGCGCAAGCCUGAUCCAGCCAUGCCGCGUGCAGGAAGAAGCAUCUAUGGUGUGUAAACUGCUUUUGUACAGGAAGAAACACUCCCUCGUGAGGGAGCUUGACGGUACUGUAAGAAUAAGGACCGGCUAACUCCGUGCCAGCAGCCGCGGUAAUACGGAGGGUCCGAGCGUUAUCCGGAAUCAUUGGGUUUAAAGGGUCCGUAGGCGGUUUAAUAAGUCAGUGGUGAAAUCUGGUCGCUCAACGAUCAAACGGCCAUUGAUACUGUUAGACUUGAAUUAUAAGGAAGUAACUAGAAUAUGUAGUGUAGCGGUGAAAUGCUUAGAUAUUACAUGGAAUACCAAUUGCGAAGGCAGGUUACUACUUAUGGAUUGACGCUGAUGGACGAAAGCGUGGGGAGCGAACAGGAUUAGAUACCCUGGUAGUCCACGCCGUAAACGAUGGAUACUAGCUGUUCGGAGCAAUCUGAGUGGCUAAGCGAAAGUGAUAAGUAUCCCACCUGGGGAGUACGUUCGCAGAAUGAAACUNAAAUGAAUUGACGG
rnacentral:rRNA from 1 species